rnacentral:rRNA from 1 species
AUGUUUCAAGACGCGGUUUUAUUGGCACGUUUUGUCAAAGCAAAGAUCGUGUCCCCUUAUUACGGGAUUUUCAUCAAUACGGGCAUGGGCAAUCCAACCACCUCGUUGGUACGAUUCCUAGGGAAUAGGCAAGUUUUAAGGCUCAUGAGGAGGCAUUCGAUAUUCAUCGCCUUUAUAAAGGGGCACAGACCCGUCCUUCUCCUCUACGCCCACCUAUUCCUCACCUUUUCCAUCCUCGAGCUCCACCACCCAGUUUUCAACUUAAUCGUUCCAAGCCUCCCAGUCAUGUCCGGAUCCAGCCUUCAAGGCCGGUGGGUAGCCUCCUCUGUCACAGAGGAGGAUAUCGCGAAGCUUCGGGCGGCAAGGUACCUGACCGCGGAAAUCCUCCAUAGGCUCCCAGCUAAGGGGUAG